GGCGAACGCUAGCGGCGUGGAUAAGGCAUGCAAGUCUUACGAUAGGAAGUUAGAUUUUCUAACUUCCUAUAGUGGCGAACGGGGCAGUAAUACGUCUCUAACUCACCCUUCAGACGAAGAUAACUCACCGAAAGGCGAGCUAAUAAUCGAUAGUCCUAGGAUUACAAAAGUAAUACUGGGUAAAGCUGUAAAGCGCUGAAGGAGAGGGGGACGGCCGAUCAGCUAGUUGGUGAGAUAAUAGCUCACCAAGGCUAUGACCGGUAGGGGACCUGAGAGGGUAUUCCCCGCCAAUGGCACUGAGACACGGGCCUUACUCCUACGGGAGGCAGCAGCCGAGAAUCUUGGGCAAUGGGCGAAAGCCUGACCCAGUGACGCCGCGUGCCGGAAGAAGCCCUUCGGGGUGUAAACGGCUUUUCUGGGGGAGGAAGUUCUAUACCACUAAAUGGUAUAGGAUUGACAGUACCCCAGGAAUAAGGGACGACCAACUUCGUGCCAGCAGUCGCGGUAAGACGAAGGUCCCAAGCGUUACCCGGAUUUACUGGGCGUAAAGGGCGAGAAGGUGGUCUGAUAAGUUCUUCUUUAAAGCUUUUCGGCUCAACCGAAAAGAAAAGAAGGAUACUGUCGGACUAGAGACUAUCUGAGGCUAGCGGAACGCACGGUGUAGGGGUGAAAUCCGAUGAUAUCGUGCGGAACUCCAAAGGCGAAGGCAGCUAGCUAGGAUAGCUCUGACACUGAUCUCGCGAAAGCUAGGGGAGCGACGGGGAUUAGAUACCCCCUUAGUCCUAGCUGUAAACGAUGGAUGCUAACUUUGGGGAGUCUCGACCCUCUCUGAGGUAAAGCUAACGCGUUAAGCAUCCCGCCUGGGGAGUAUAGCCGCAAGGCUGAAACUCAAAGGAAUAGGCGGAAGCCCGAACAAGCGGUGGACCAUGUUUGCUCAAUUCGAGAGUGACCGAAAAAUCUUACCCAGGUUUGACAUGCUAGUCUUAAUGCUUCUUCCGAAAGGAAGAAGAAAUCCGAUUUUUGUCGGAUGGGCUAGCACAGGUGCUGCAUGGCGGUCGUCAGCUCGUGGUGUGAACCGUAACCUUAAGUGGCACAACGAGCGCAACCCCCGUCCUGUGUUACAAGUGUUACAGGAGACUGCUGAGUAUAACUCGGAGGAAGGUGGGGAUGACGUCACGUCUGCAUGGCCCUUAUGCCUGGGGCGGCAAACAUGGUACAAUGCUGGGGACAAAGGGAAGCGAAACUGCGAGGUGGAGCAAAUCCCUAAAAACCUAGCUCAGUUCGGAUUGUAGGCUGAAACUCGCCUGCAUGAAGCUGGAAUCGCUAGUAAUCGCGGGUCAGCUAUACCGCGGUGAAUGCGUUCUCGGGCUUUGCACUCACUGCCCGUCAGGUCAGGAGAGUUCUCUCUACCUGAAGCCCUU
rnacentral:rRNA from 1 species